rnacentral:misc_RNA from 1 species
AAAAAAAAAAAAAAAAAGAAAUCAUGCAGAAGAAAGAUUCACAGCAUAACAAUUGAAUAUGAUGCCAUCAAUGGGAGAGCAGCUUCCAAAAAUCAUAGGAAUGGGCACACAAAAAGCUUGUGCUACAUCAGUACCUCACCCUUACAUUUAAGAACAAUAAACAGUAAUAAUGUGGCAAAAACCUAAUGCAUCAUCUCAAAAUUUCCACAAAAUCGGGCAUCAAUAAUUAGAAGCUUAUUGUAUCCACCAGUAAACAUGUCAACAACUUAAAAAAUUAUAGAUGCAAUUAACUGUGCCCCCGCAAAAAGCAUAUCAACAACAUCAGCUAUAGCAUUAACUUGCCCAACUGGCCCAUCGAGAUUAAAUUCAGCAGCUGUCUCAA